CUCCCAAGCGUUGAUGCAUCUACCUGUAUUCUUCUGUCAUGGGCUGUAGUAUCCAUUGCGAACAUGGCAGAAGAAUACAGGUAGAUGCAUCAACGCUUGGGAGC
rnacentral:pre_miRNA from 1 species